UACGUAGGUGGCAAGCGUUGUCCGGAAUUAUUGGGCGUAAAGCGCGCGCAGGCGGUCCUUUAAGUCUGAUGUGAAAGCCCACGGCUCAACCGUGGAGGGUCAUUGGAAACUGGGGGACUUGAGUGCAGGAGAGAAGAGUGGAAUUCCACGUGUAGCGGUGAAAUGCGUAGAGAUGUGGAGGAACACCAGUGGCAAAGGCGACGCGUGGGCCUGUAACUGACGCUGAGGCGCGAAAGCGUGGGGAGCAAACAGG
rnacentral:rRNA from 1 species